CGUGGCAAUCAUUGCUGGCCUGUUUCUGGUUCUCCUUGGAGCUGUGGUUAUUGGAGCUGUAAUGUGGAGGAAGAGGAGCUCAGGUGGAAAAGGAGGGAGCUACUCUCAGGCUGCAAGUGGUGACAGUGACCAGGGCUCUGAUGUGUCUCUCACAGCUUCUAAAGCGUGACCCAGCUGCCUUUUGUGGGACUGAGUGAAAGAAGAUUUGUUCACACCUCCUCUUUGUGACUUUAAGAACCUCUGACUUCUCUUUCUGCAAAGGACAUUUGAAUGGGUCUGCAUUUCUAUUACGAUAAUGUAAGGAUGUGGAGAGAUGACCAGCCCACCCCUGUGUCCACACUGACUCCCUUCCCCACCCUGACCUGUUGCCUUCCCUGAUCAUCUUUCCUGUUCCAGGGAGGUGGGGUGGGGACGUCUCCAUUCCUGUCUCUACUUCAUGGUGUGCUGAGCUCUAUCUUCUUAGUUCCCUAUUGAAAAUAGGAAUCUGAAUAUAAAUUUGUUUCAAAUUCUUACCAUGAGAGGUUGAUGAGCUAAUUAAAGGAGAUUUCUAAAAUUGGAGAGAGGAAAUAAAUGGCAGACCUGAGAACCUUCCAGAAUUCACAUGUUUGCUGAACUGAGUCUGUUGCAGGAGGGGAAGGGGAAGACUGUGAGGAACCGAGUGUGAACAGAGCCUGUGUCCAAUCAAUGUUUAGUUUAUUACACUUUUUGAUGUGGUCAUUCCUCAGCUGGAUCAUUUUCACUGCUCCACUGUCCUUGUCCCUUCAGUAGAACCUCGUUGCAGCAGGACUCAGACAUCAGCCAGGGUGGCUCCUGUACAAUGUGUCUCUGUGGUAUCAAGAGAUGAAUUUUCAGACCUGUCCAGUUCUUGCUGUUCUUAUAGGGCUCUUGCUUGCAUCAUAUCUUUCUCAUCUUUUUUUCAAUCCUUUUAUUUUGUAUUUCUUUUUCAUUUUUAUGGAUACAUAAUAGUUGUACCUGUUUAUGGGGUACAUGUGAUAUUUGAUACAAGCAUAUGAUGUGUAGUGAUCAAAUCUGGGUAAUUAGAAUAUCCAUCACCUCAGACAUUCAUCAUUUAUUUUUGGUGGGAGCAUUCUAAAUCUUGUGGUUAUUCUGAAAUAAGCAAUAUGUCAUUGUUAACUAUAGUCACCCUAUUGUAGACACUAUUAUACUAUGCUUUAUUCCUUCUGUUUGACAGUGUUUGUGUACCCAUUAACCAAUCUCUCUUUAUUCCUCCUCCCCCUCCCAACUAUCCUUCCCAGCCUCUGGCAAUCACCAUCUAUUCACUAUCUUUGUAAGAUCAAGUUUUGUAGUUCACAGUUAAGAGAGGGAACAUGUAAUAUUUGUCUUUCUGUGCCUGGAUGAUUUCAUUUAACAUAAUGUCCUCCAGUUCCAUCCGUGUUGCUGUGCCCAACCUUUUUAGAGGAACCAACUUCUGUAAUUAGCAGACAGUGGGAUUCCAUAGUUACCAUCUUAGGUAAAUCUCUGUUGGUAUUUCUCUUCUAGUCUGUUCUCCUAUCCCCUCUUCCUGCCCUUAGUUCUAGAAAACUCAGUGUUGGCUCUAUUCCAAACUCAUGGUUUUAUGAAGCAAAGUCUCAUUUAGAUUUUUAUUUGUUUGGAAUAUUGGACCUGUAGUUAAGGAUUGUUGUUUCCUGAGAAAGAAAUAUAAUUGUGAGUUGCCGUGUGAGGGGAGUUGGUGUGGCGGAAUGUAUGGAGGGAGGAGACACACAACAGCACUGGUGAAAAAAAGCACAGGUGACAUUGAUGUCCAUGUAAGAGGACAUUGUGCUGUAGGUUCCACAAAACAGAACUUGGUCUGAGGCUGUGUUAACAAAGAUAAUGUGUCUGUGUUAACAAAGAUACUGUGUUGGAUCAUUCUUCCAACAUAUAUCUGUUGUCGCCAGAUAUAUGACAAACUUUUCGUAUCUGAGAAACAUCAUUAAAGUAACAACAGAAAAA